CCCAAUUUUGAAAAAAAAAUUAGCCGUCGAGUUUUUCCAACGAAUUAAUGCUCCUACUCUCUUCCUCUCAUUCUCUAGAGCUUGGUGGCGAAGGAUCCUCCUAAGGGAAAGAAAUCGCCGAUCCGUAAGCUUGUCUCGAGGCUAGACGUCUAGUUCUAUUCCUUGAGUUGGAAUCGGAAAGAAUUGCAUUGUGGCAUUUGAUUUUGAUGGUGACUGCGGACUUUAGUCCAACACUGCAGUAUAGGGUUCCACAGUUCGGCCUAAUGGGAGACGGCGUGGUUAACUCUGAGUUUACCAUAGUCAAGAGGUGAGCGGAGCCAUUGGCAUGGGGUCUUUUAUGUGAGAAACCUGGGGUCACCACACUGGAAUCUCAGUGGCCAACACCAAGGAAGGCAGCAUUUUGAAUUAUAAAAGUCUUAAAACACCUUAGAGGCCCCGUAGCUAGUCGCGGUAAUGAAUAGCUUGGGAAUUGUUUGAGGCCAGUUUGUAUUUUGAGCGGUGUUCAAUGUGUUGGAAAGUGUUACUUACAU